rnacentral:tRNA from 43 species
GCACCCGUAGCUCAGCUGGAUAGAGCGUCGCCCUCCGAAGGCGAAGGCCACAGGUUCGAAUCCUGUCGGGUGCGCCA